rnacentral:rRNA from 1 species
UACGAAGGGGGCGAGCGUUGUUCGGAUUUACUGGGCGUAAAGGGCGCGUAGGCGGCCUUGUCAGUCAGGCGUGAAAGCCCCGGGCUCAACCUGGGAACGGCGCUUGGGACGGCGAGGCUGGAGUUCGGGAGAGGAGAGUGGAAUUCCCAGUGUAGAGGUGAAUUUCGUAGAUAUUGGGAAGAACACCGGUGGCGAAGGCGGCUCUCUGGACCGACACUGACGCUGAGGCGCGAAAGCGUGGGGAGCAAACAGG